UAUUUCCUCGUCAGCCUUUGGUCUUGAAAACUUCACCGUCGAAAAUAAAACUGUCACUAAAAAGGCCAAGUGUCCAUAGUUAUGUCGCUGUACACAGAUGAACUUUUCAGUCAAUCAUUGACAACAAAUCCAUCAAUGGGAGAUCGUCUUUAUGUUGAAGUCAAACGUAAUACAAACAAAACAAACUCAACUGUUGGAAUAAAGUUAAAUGAAUGCUUUGUUACUUCAAAAAGCUCUUCGCGUCAAUUUAAAUAUGUUCUUAUUGAACGUGGUUGUCAAAAGGACAAGACGGUGAGAUUUUAUAAGACAUCAUCUCAUCAAACGUCAAGAUUCAGUUUUCUUGUUUUUCGUUUUCGUGGUUUACAUCAUUACCACACACGUGUUCACUGCAGAGUCAGUUUGUGUGUGGGAAAAUCUUGUGAAGUAGUGGGAUGUCUGUCAUCCAAGAUUGGAAAACGUUUCUUGUCUCAGUUUAGCAGUGAUCAACAAAUAGGAUAUUUUUACUAAACAGUACGCGGAAGGUAUCAUUCAAAACAGUUAUAUUUGAAGACCUCAAUUCUUUUAGCGACUGUAGUACAAACAGUAGAUAGAAGCUUGUUGACUUAGUUAUCAGUAUAUUACCGAUGUUCACAUGUUAGUAGCUUUAGAAUAAUAUGAAAUACAUUUAAAUGCAUUACA